CUAAGCAUAUCAAUAGCGGAGGAAAAGAAACCAACCGGGAUUGCCUCAGUAACGGCGAGUGAAGCGGCAAGAGCUCAAAUUUGAAAGCUGGCUCCUUCGGGGUCCGCAUUGUAAUUUGCAGAGGAUGCUUCGGGUGCGGCCCCUGUCUAAGUGCCCUGGAACGGGCCGUCAGAGAGGGUGAGAAUCCCGUCUGGGAUGGGGUGUCCGCGCCCGUGUGAAGCUCCUUCGACGAGUCGAGUUGUUUGGGAAUGCAGCUCUAAAUGGGUGGUAAAUUUCAUCUAAAGCUAAAUACUGGCCGGAGACCGAUAGCGCACAAGUAGAGUGAUCGAAAGAUGAAAAGCACUUUGAAAAGAGAGUUAAAAAGCACGUGAAAUUGUUGAAAGGGAAGCGCUUGCGACCAGACUCGCCUCCAGGGUUCAGCCGGCAUUCGUGCCGGUGUACUUCCCUGGGGGCGGGCCAGCGUCGGUUUGGGCGGCCGGUCAAAGGCUCCCGGAAUGUAGUGCCCUCCGGGGCACCUUAUAGCCGGGAGUGCAAUGCGGCCAGCCUGGACCGAGGAACGCGCUUCGGCACGGACGCUGGCAUAAUGGUCGUAAACGACCCGUCUUGAAACACGGACCAAGGAGUCUAACAUCUACGCGAGUGUUCGGGUGUCAAACCCGUACGCGCAGUGAAAGCGAACGGAGGUGGGAGCCCCCUCGUGGGGCGCACCAUCGACCGAUCCUGAUGUCUUCGGAUGGAUUUGAGUAAGAGCGUAAAUGUGGGGACCCGAAAGAUGGUGAACUAUGCCUGAAUAGGGCGAAGCCAGAGGAAACUCUGGUGGAGGCUCGCAGCGGUUCUGACGUGCAAAUCGAUCGUCAAAUUUGGGUAUAGGGGCGAAAGACUAAUCGAACCAUCUAGUAGCUGGUUCCUGCCGAAUU
rnacentral:rRNA from 1 species